rfam:Candidate division WS6 bacterium GW2011_GWC1_33_20 TR34_C0009, whole genome shotgun sequence.
UUCAAUGAGAGUUUGAUCAUAGCUCAGGAUGAACGUUGGCUGUGUGCCUAAGGUAUGCAAGUCGAACGGUCUUAUUCUGAAUUCCAAAGACUUCGGUCAAUGGUUUUCUAUUUAAGAUAGUGGCAAACGGGUGAGUAACACGUAGGUAACUUACCUCAAAGUCGAAAAUAGCUCGUCGAAAGGCGGGGUAAUAUUCGAUAGUCUCUAUUUACUUCGGUAUUUUAGAGUAAAGCUUUUGCGCUUUGAGAAAGGCCUGCGUCCUAUCAGCUAGUUGGUGAGGUAAUGGCUCACCAAGGCUAAGACGGGUAGCUGGUGUGAGAGCACGGUCAGCCACCGCGGAACUGAGACACGG